rnacentral:rRNA from 1 species
AGAAGACCCCAUGGAGCUUUAAAUCCAACAGCACCUAUUACCCAUAUAUCUUUAUAUUUUUUUAGCAAAUGCUCGUUCGGUUUUAGGUUGGGGUGACCAUGGAGUAAAAAAUAACCUCCACGAAAAAAGGCAUAAAACCCUUAUCAAAGAGCCACAUCUCUAUGAAUUAGUAAACUAAUUUCUGAUGAUCCGAUAUUCGAUCAACGAACCAAGUUACCCUGGGGAUAACAGCGCAAUCCGCCUUAAGAGCCCCUAUCGACAGGCGGGUUUACGACCUCGAUGUUGGAUCAGGGUAUCCCAGUGGUGCAACAGCUACUAAAGGUUCGUUUGUUCAACGAUUAAAACCCU